ACGGAGGGUGCAAGCGUUAAUCGGAAUUACUGGGCGUAAAGGGUGCGUAGGUUGUUUGAUAAGUUAUCUGUAAAAUCCCCGGGCUUAACCUGGGCAGGUCAGAUAAGACUGUUGAACUCGAGUAUGGGAGAGGGUAGUGGAAUUUCCGGUGGGGUGGUGACAGGCGUAGUGCUGAGACGGAGCAACAGGGGAGAAGGCGGCAACCUGGCUUAAUACCGAGACUACGGCGGCGGAGCGUCGGGAGCAAACAG
rnacentral:rRNA from 1 species